rnacentral:rRNA from 1 species
UACGUAGGGUGCGAGCGUUACUCGGAAUUACUGGGCGUAAAGCGUGCGCAGGCGGUUCGCUAAGACCGAUGUGAAAUCCCCGGGCUUAACCUGGGAACUGCAUUGGUGACUGGCGGGCUAGAGUGUGGAAGAGGGGGGUAGAAUUCCACGUGUAGCAGUGAAAUGCGUAGAGAUGUGGAGGAAUACCGAUGGCGAAGGCAGCCCCCUGGGCUAACACUGACGCUCAUGCACGAAAGCGUGGGGAGCAAACAGG